rnacentral:rRNA from 1 species
UACAUGCCACCGGGGCAUCCCGGAGGCAGGAAAGGCUUCGGCCGGACAGGGAUGGGCAUGCGGCGCAUUAGGCAGUAGGCGGGGUAACGGCCCACCUAACCGACGAUGCGUAGGGGUUCUGAGAGGAAGGUCCCCCACACUGGUACUGAGACACGGACCAGACUCCUACGGGAGGCAGCAGUGAGGAAUAUUGGUCAAUGGUCGGGAGACUGAACCAGCCAAGCCGCGUGAGGGAUGAAGGUACAGAGUAUCGUAAACCUCUUUUGUCAGGGAACAAAGGCGGGGACGUGUCCCCGGAUGAGUGUACCUGAAGAAAAAGCAUCGGCUAACUCCGUGCCAGCAGCCGCGGUAAUACGGAGGAUGCGAGCGUUAUCCGGAUUUAUUGGGUUUAAAGGGUGCGCAGGCGGUCUGUUAAGUCAGCGGUCAAAGCCCGGGGCUCAACCCCGGCCCGCCGUUGAAACUGGCAGUCUCGAGUUGGAGAGAAGUAUGCGGAAUGCGCGGUGUAGCGGUGAAAUGCAUAGAUAUCGCGCAGAACUCCGAUUGCGAAGGCAGCAUGCCGGCUCCACACUGACGCUGAGGCACGAAAGCGUGGGUAUCGAACAGGAUUAGAUACCCUGGUAGUCCACGCAGUAAACGAU